rnacentral:rRNA from 1 species
GGGACACGUGGUAUCCUGUCUGAAUAUGGGGGGACCAUCCUCCAAGGCUAAAUACUCCUGACUGACCGAUAGUGAACCAGUACCGUGAGGGAAAGGCGAAAAGAACCCCGGCGAGGGGAGUGAAAAAGAACCUGAAACCGUGUACGUACAAGCAGUGGGAGCCUCUUAAUGGGGUGACUGCGUACCUUUUGUAUAAUGGGUCAGCGACUUAUAUUCUGUAGCAAGGUUAACCGAAUAGGGGAGCCGAAGGGAAACCGAGUCUUAACUGGGCGUUAAGUUGCAGGGUAUAGACCCGAAACCCGGUGAUCUAGCCAUGGGCAGGUUGAAGGUUGGGUAACACUAACUGGAGGACCGAACCGACUAAUGUUGAAAAAUUAGCGGAUGACUUGUGGCUGGGGGUGAAAGGCCAAUCAAACCGGGAGAUAGCUGGUUCUCCCCGAAAGCUAUUUAGGUAGCGCCUCGUGAAUUCAUCUCCGGGGGUAGAGCACUGUUUCGGCAAGGGGGUCAUCCCGACUUACCAACCCGAUGCAAACUGCGAAUACCGGAGAAUGUUAUCACGGGAGACACACGGCGGGUGCUAACGUCCGUCGUGAAGAGGGAAACAACCCAGACCGCCAGCUAAGGUCCCAAAGUCAUGGUUAAGUGGGAAACGAUGUGGGAAGGCCCAGACAGCCAGGAUGUUGGCUUAGAAGCAGCCAUCAUUUAAAGAAAGCGUAAUAGCUCACUGGUCGAGUCGGCCUGCGCGGAAGAUGUAACGGGGCUAAACCAUGCACCGAAGCUGCGGCAGCGACACUAUGUGUUGUUGGGUAGGGGAGCGUUCUGUAAGCCUGUGAAGGUGGCCUGUGAGGGUUGCUGGAGGUAUCAGAAGUGCGAAUGCUGACAUAAGUAACGAUAAAGCGGGUGAAAAGCCCGCUCGCCGGAAGACCAAGGGUUCCUGUCCAACGUUAAUCGGGGCAGGGUGAGUCGACCCCUAAGGCGAGGCCGAAAGGCGUAGUCGAUGGGAAACAGGUUAAUAUUCCUGUACUUGGUGUUACUGCGAAGGGGGGACGGAGAAGGCUAUGUUGGCCGGGCGACGGUUGUCCCGGUUUAAGCGUGUAGGCUGAUUUUCCAGGCAAAUCCGGAAAAUCAAGGCUGAGGCGUGAUGACGAGGCACUACGGUGCUGAAGC